rnacentral:rRNA from 1 species
GCAGUAGCCACGGUAAUACAGAGGGUGCAAGCGUUAAUCGGAAUUACUGGGCGUAAAGCGCGCGUAGGUGGUUUGUUAAGUUGGAUGUGAAAGCCCCGGGCUCAACCUGGGAACUGCAUCCAAAACUGGCAAGCUAGAGUACGGUAGAGGGUGGUGGAAUUUCCUGUGUAGCGGUGAAAUGCGUAGAUAUAGGAAGGAACACCAGUGGCGAAGGCGACCACCUGGACUGAUACUGACACUGAGGUGCGAAAGCGUGGGGAGCAAACAGGAUUAGAUACCCCUGUAGUCCCUGUCUCUUAUAU